GAUUCUUCCCAAUUCUACCGCCAUCAUUCUGGUUCAAGCUACCUGGUCCAGCUUUGACUUUACCUGGUUUUUUAUAGAAUGCUACAACUCCCUCUAGAAGCUUCUCUUGAUAAGGUAAAGCAUGCACAAAGCAAAUUUCGGUUGUAUCCUAGAAAUGAUAGCCAUAUUCAGGAUACUGGUUACACCUGAGGAAACAUCUCCAUGAAAGUUAAGCAUAUACAGGACCUCACUUUGUUACCCAGGCUAGAGUGCAAUGGUGUGACCACAGCUCACUGCAGCCUCAACCUCCUGGGCUCACUUAAGCAAUCCUCUCACUUCGGUCUCCUGAGUAGCUGGGCCUACAGGCAUGUACCACCACUCCCAGCAAGUUUUUAUUAUUUUUUGUGAAGACAGAGUCUUGCAGUAUUGCCCAAGCUGGACUUGAACUCCUGGCCUCAAGCAAUCCUCCCAUCUAGGCCUCCCGAAGUGCUAGGAUUACAGGCAUGAGCCACUGUGCCAAGCAACACUUGUACUUUUUAAGUGAAAAUGAUCCUGUAAAUAUAUAUAUGAAUAAAAUCUAGAAAGCUAUAUAAAUCAAAA
rnacentral:antisense_RNA from 1 species